rnacentral:tRNA from 1 species
AGUUCAAUAUUCAAAACAAUGAUUUUAAAUUGCAAAUUUAAAGUUGGAUUAUUCCUUGGACUU